rnacentral:rRNA from 1 species
UUAAAGGGUGCGUAGGUGGUCAUUUAAGUCUGAUUUGAAAGCAAGCGGCUUAACCGUUUGAUGUGGUUGGAAACUGAAUGACUUGAAUGGGUUGGCGGUAGCCGGAAUGGGUCAUGUAGCGGUGAAAUGCAUAGAUAUGACCCGGAACACCGAUUGCGAAGGCAGGCUACUACGACUUGAUUGACACUGAGGCACGAGAGCAUGGGUAGCGAACAGGAUUAGACCACCGU